UAUUGGUGGUACACACCUGUAAUCCCCUGCUAUAAGGGAUGCUGAGGCUGGUGGGUCGCCUGAGUUUGGGAGUUUUAUGCUGCAGUGGGGCUUAAGCCAAUCUGGUGAAGUCACUAAGGCUGGCACCAGUAUGGUGAGCCAUGGGCCACUAGGUUGCCUAAGGAGGAGUGAACCAGCCAAGAUUGCAAACAAAACAGGUUAAAGCUUUUUUUGCUGAUUAGUAGUGGAAUUGUGCCUGUGAGUAACCACCAUAAUCCAGCCUGAGCAAGAUAGGGAAAGCUAGUCUCA
rnacentral:SRP_RNA from 1 species